UCCCUGGUGGCUCAGUUGGUAAAGAAUCUGCCUGCAAUGCAGGAGACUACCUGCAGUGCAGGAGACCCAGGUUCGAUCCCUGGGUUGGGAA
rnacentral:tRNA from 1 species